AGUGGCGGACGGGUGAGUAACACGUAAGAACCUGCCUUUUGGAGGGGGAUAACAUAGGGAAACCUUUGCUAAUACCCCAUAAUGCUGAGGAGCUAAAUCGCAUUUGCGGCCAAGAGAGGGGCUUGCGCCUGAUUAGCUAGUUGGGGAGGUAAUGGCUUCCCAAGGCCACGAUCAGUAGUUGGUCUGAGAGGAUGAUCAGCCACACUGGGACUGAGACACGGCCCAGACUCCUACGGGAGGCAGCAGUGAGGAAUUUUCCGCAAUGGGCGAAAGCCUGACGGAGCAAUACCGCGUGAAGGAAGAAGGAUCGUGGUCUGUAAACUUCUUUUCUCAGAGAAGAAGAUCUGACGGUAUCUGAGGAAUAAGCACCGGCUAACUCCGUGCCAGCAGCCGCGGUAAUACGGAGGGUGCAAGCGUUGUCCGGAAUGAUUGGGCGUAAAAGCG
rnacentral:rRNA from 1 species